GGUGGACUAAAUUAUAUAAUUUAUUUCUAAACCAUCCCAAAAAAAUUUGACGAAUAAUCCCUUGCGACAAUAAAAAUCUAUAACAUCUUUAAUAGAAAAAUAUAACUUCUUGAAUGCUGUCCUUAAUCUGCAGCAGAUGAUGCACCACAGCAGUCCGAUCCCUGAAACCAUCAAUUGAUGUUGAUCCUCCAUCAAAAAGAUCAGACUCUAUAUAGAAACUAAGGCCAGC
rnacentral:lncRNA from 1 species